CCCAUCCCUUCUUGGCUAAAAAUCCCAUCCCUCCAGCAACACGCUGUGUUCCAGCUCCUGCCUCGGAUCCUCUGCCUGGAUCUAAUGAGGAGAUGGACUAAACUCAUGGAAAGCUGCAUCUCUUCUCUAGCUUUAGGUGGAGUUAUUCUAAUUUGCUACUGCUUCUGUAAGAAGAGAAUUUGAUCCACU